AUUGCCGGCAUGGUUUCCCGUAAUCUAGAAACUGGACUGUCUGUAAAAACAAGGCAUACAAUUUCGUCAUUUUACGAAAUUGUAUGCCUUGUUUUUACAGACAGUCCAGUUUCUAGAUUACGGGAAACCAUGCCGGCAAU
rnacentral:pre_miRNA from 1 species